UGCUCACAGAGAGGGAGCGGCUCACGAGACAGAGACAGCAAACCUCAGCUGGGGUAGAUUCUGGACAUCUUCCCCAAAAAAGGCCAUGAAAGUGGGAGGGAAAUAAGGCCCAAAAAAGCAGGUAAAAACGAGGCUGGUGCUAGGUUGUCUCCCAAAAAUUCACGGCCACCUGGAAUCUUAGAAUGUGAUUUUAUUUGGAAAUAGGGUCUUUGCAGACAUAGUUAGUUAAGAUGAGGUUAUACUCAUCUUAAGCUCACCUAAUCCAAUGACUGAUGCCCUUAUUUAUAAAAAGAGAAAAUAGCGACACACACAUACACACACACUCACGGAGAAUGCCACGUGACAAUGGAGACAGGGAUUGCAGUGAUGUUGCUACAAGCCAAGAAACACCCAGGAUCGCCAGCAGCCACCAGGAGCCAGGAGAGAGGCACGGAGCAGUUUCUCCCUCAGAACCCCUGGACGGAACCAACCUUGCCAAUACCUUGAUUUCAAAUUUCCAGAACUGCAAGAGCAGACAUUUCUGUUGCUUUGAGUCAUCCGGCCACAUCUCCAGAUCUGAAAUGGAAAGGGCACAUAUUUAUUUGCUGGGGGCUGCAGUCUCUUUUCACCGUUAUUCGCAAUGACUCUGUUGGCUGCCCUGUUUGGGGCUGUGUUUGUCUGUCUGCCCGUCUCUGUUGUCACGCUAGUCCUGGAUCUGCCCCCAAACUACAGACAUUCUGCAGAGAUGGGACAAAACGAGGGAGAGUGGGCAAGGGGCUCCAGGAUUCCAUAAAACCGGCUCGACAAAGAGAAUGCCUGCUCAGAAGUCAAGAACUCCUGUGAUCUAAUUUGUGGGUGUCACCAUUACCUCCUCUCAGGGUGGAGACUGGGAGCUUGAGAAGAGAGAUGUGACUUGUCCAAAACCACAUGAUAACGUAGUGACUCAAAUCCAGCUCCAUGUGGAAGACUUCCCAGUGCCGUCUCUCCACCGCAACGCAUUUCCUCUUUUUACUACAGAAUUUCCCCCCUCCUUUCUUCUUUUAAAAACCAACAUUCCAUGACAUAUUUACAAUUUUACAGAGAAAAAAAAAACCUAAUCAAAAGUACAUCAAAUAAGCCCUAUACCUGUCCAGAUUCUUAUGGACGUGUGCGCACAGAUAUUUACCAGGUCAUCAUCAGCACAGGUAAGCGAUUCCAUAUUCUUGUCGCACUUAACUUUGCUCUGUCUAUCUCGUAUCAAGUGUUUGAGUUCUCCACUGUAUUGUUUUCACAGCAUUUGCCUAACUAUUCCCUAAUUACCUGCAUUUGGUAAAGAAAAAAGAAAGUGAAACACCUUUGUAUCUCUCAGUUUAUGAUCCAGGCUUCAUACAAAAUGAUGUGUUCCUAUGCCUGGGUUAUUUCACCAAUAUAGUCUAAGUAUUUGCCUUAAAGAACUUCAUCAGUUCUGUGCUUAACUUUGAUAACAUGUCUUAUCCAUUGGUUUAUUACAACUGUUUCCCUCUUCCAUUAACUUCGC
rnacentral:lncRNA from 1 species